rnacentral:lncRNA from 1 species
AUGCCACUUUGUAGCAGUUCAUAACAGUCUUUUGAGUUUUCUCUGAACUCAUCCUUUUUGUCAUUUCUUAGGAUGCUGUUGUAUGUCAUUACAACCAUAUUGCACAACUUGUUCAUCCAUUUCCAAAGACGUCUUUAAGAAAGAUGGGCUAUGCUAAACCUGAAGAAGAGAAGACUAAUUUGAGACAAAACAACACACUUGAAAUAUUUGAAGAAUCAUCCGAUGAAUGAGAGAUUAGAUUUCUCUUCAGGUCCAGAAUCUGGGGCAAAUCAUGGAAUAUUGCAAAUAAAGAGCACAGAUGAAGUCAGCAGGAAGCACAGACACGAAAGGCAUUUUUAAAAAGAAGAAAACCAAGGCUCAGAAAAAUUGCCUGCCUCGUCCAACGUCAUACACCAGAAGAACUAGACCUUGGACCUAUGCCCUCUGCCUACAAAUCCAAGAUUCUUUCCCCCAAAGCGUGGUGCCAUUUCUUAGACAAUUGAAAUAAAACACUGUAUAAUGUGGAAGAUUAUGCACUCUAUCAAUAUAUUUUUUUUCUCUUGUAUAACACUAUCUUUGGUCAGACUUAAAGUCUUCAGGGUAACCAAAAAGGA